AUUGGUAACUGGAGCUAAAUCUUUCUGGGGAACCCUAGAACUCUAGUGGGACAGAGUUUAUGGGUAUAUUAUCGAGUGAGAGGAAAGUGAAAUAUUGAUCUGUCAUCUUCCUUUAUGUUAUUUGUUGAGGGUUGUUUCUGGGGCAAUAACUAUUGCACUUCUAGUUUUCCUUGAGUGUAGACCCAAUAUGCUCCUACAGUCAGAAAAACACAAAUCCACAGGCAAAUAGCUGCAUGUGUUCACAGUAAGACUUAAAACAAGACCGUAUUUUCCAAAUUAUUGUUUAUCAUCAUGGAGAUACCCAAGCUAUUUCCAAGUCUUGUUGUUUCUCUAUCCUCAAUAUCUCUAGAAUACAGUCAAUUUCAAUAUCCAUAAUCCUACUAGGCUAGGCAUAUCACCAUCAUUUGCCUAGACUUUUGAAUAUGUUUCUAGAUGGUCUUCAUCCUUUCAGUAUGCUUUCCUCCAGUUUAUUCUACACAUGGAAGCUUUACUAUAGUUAUAAAAUAUAAAUGUGAUCAUGUAAUUUCCCUGCUUAAAACACUGUAGUGUUACUCCAAUGUCAUCUGGAUAAAUCCACACUUGUUAUCAUACUUUGGACUUCUUAGCAUGGUUCAGGAGGUUUAUUUCAAGUAUCAACCUCUCCUACACACACACACGCACACCACCUGAUGUUCCUCACAGUGAGUGUCUAUCAUGGCUGUAAACGUGUUCCUGCCCAAGGAAGAGGAUCUCUGUAACCCCUCUCAUACUUCCUAUUGCCCAGGACACUGGACCUGCAAUGCCUCCUAUGAGACUACAUACAGUGGGCGUGUUAUGGAUGGCUGAAGCACAGCACGGUACUGUUGUAACAAGAAACAGCCUCUUCUGUAAGGGACAAAUUGCCGAGAGUGCAGCUUUUGGUUUGAGUAAAACAGAAAAGGAGAAAAUUGACCCACAUGUGCCAAUAAAAAAGAACAUCAUUUAAAUAAAAGACCCGUAUUAACCAUUUAAAAA
ensembl:lncRNA LINC02013 long intergenic non-protein coding RNA 2013